CCUACGGGCGGCUGCAGUAAGGAAUAUUGGUCAAUGGACGAAAGUCUGAACCAGCCAUGCCGCGUGGAGGAUGAAGGUCCUCUGGAUUGUAAACUUCUUUUAUAUGGGACGCAAAAAGGCCUUUCUAGGCCGUCUGACGGUACCAUAUGAAUAAGCACCGGCUAACUCCGUGCCAGCAGCCGCGGUAAUACGGAGGGUGCAAGCGUUAUCGGGAUUCACUGGUGCGAAGGUGGGUUGAGGAGGGUUGAUAGAAAUAUCCGAGCGUAACUUGGAAACUGCCAUUGAUACUAUUAAUCUUGAAUAUUGUGGAGGUUAGCGGAAUAUGUCAUGUAGCGGUGAAAUGCUUAGAUAUGACAUAGAACACCAAUUGCGAAGGCAGCUGGCUACACAUAUAUUGACACUGAGGCACGAAAGCGUGGGGAUCAAACAGGAUUAGAUACCCUAGUAGUC
rnacentral:rRNA from 1 species